GACGAACCGAGCGAACGUUGUUCGGAAUCACUGGGCUUAAAGGGCGCGUAGGCGGGUAUCCAAGUCUAUGGUGAAAUCCGGCAGCUUAACUGUCGAACUGCCGUGGAUACUGGGUAUCUCGAGGGAGGUAGGGGCGUGCGGAACUAUUGGUGGAGCGGUGAAAUGCGUUGAUAUCAAUAGGAACUCCGGUGGCGAAGGCGGCACGCUGGACCUCUUCUGACGCUGAGGCGCGAAAGCCAGGGGAGCAAACGGG
rnacentral:rRNA from 1 species